rnacentral:lncRNA from 1 species
UUUUUUUUUUUUGGUACUCCCUUAUAGUAGUACUUCCUUCAGUUCUUUUUACUCUGCGUUUUAGAUUUGGGUCAAGUCAAACUUUACAAAGUUUUACCAAAUAUAUAUUUAAAAAUAUCAACAUCUACCAUACUGAAUAUGUAUUCCAUAAAACUGCAUUUCGUAAUGAAUCUAACAAUAUUUAUUUGGCAUUAUAAGUGUUGAUAUUUUUUUAAUAAGUUUGAUCAAAGUAGAGAUGUUUUGACUUGAGACAAAACUUAUAUGCAGACUAUAAAUGACCGAAGGGAGUAUUAGCUUACAGAGAAGUAAUUAGUUUACAGAGGUAGUAAAAGAGGGUGGGAGGGGGAAAAGUGGAGCAUCGGACUGAUGCCUGCUGUCGUCCGUUGCCUGCUCCAGCCUUCCAGCUGAGGCACCACCUGUCCGUUGCUCCGGGUUCCCGGUUCCCUGGCGCCUCCGCCGCACCCCCGUGAACGGUACUAAUCCCCACCGCAGCAGCUACAAGUUGCACUGCACCAGUACCAUAGCUCACAGGACACUCACUCCACUCCACUAGCCACCACAGUGUACUGUGAGUGUCUGUACGUUUAGCCACUCCACUAGCUCGUCGUCCCGCCCAUCACAAGUUCCCUUGGCCUCUUCCAUCUCUGCCGCCGCCGCAGCUCCAGUGACCGCGAGGUAAAAUUCAUUUCAUUUUUGUUUAGUUUCCUGUCAAGUAACGUAGCUAGCUUUGGCCCCAAAGUGGUAGCUCGGCACGCCGACUCUUGUUUAUCUUUCUUUUCGCCAGUUGUUGAGCAAGCAUAUAAUCUAAUGCUGUUGCAAAUCUUUCUGCAGCAGGCUUCUCUGCUAAUGGUCUAGUCUGGUGCCAGCAUCUUCGUGACUUGUGAGGGACUAAUUUGGACGCCAUUCCUCGUCUGCGCACAAGCACAUUGUUGUUGUUGCUGUUGUUGUUGUCUGGUCACCACUCACCAGCACCUGUCGCUCAGGCGGCUUUGCCGCUUUACAUCCAGGCGGCGAGGCCUCUGAAAUUUCCUGUACCCACAACCCACAAUCAAAAGCUCCAUUCCGCAGCGGCUGCCGGCACGUACAGUCCUCGAUCACCAAAGCCGGAAAGCAAUCGCCAAAGCAGAUUGGCGUGUGCAGUACACAUUCUUAAUCUGAUCGUCUUUUCGCUCCGCCGGUUCUUGCCGAUCGAUCGGUCGAGCGGUGUCGCUGAAGGAAUCGUCGUCGUCUUCUUGGCCGGCAAUGGCGGCGGCUGGCCCGGGCUGCUUGCUGGGGUUGGUUUUCUUGGCCGUGCUGCUCCCGGGGGGCGCGCCGCUGCUGCAGGCCUCCCAGACGUGGACCCUGCUCAAGGUGCAGCACCUGCUGGGCCGGCCGCCGGCGCUCCGGCACUGGCGCCGCACCACCGACUUCUGCGGCGGCGGCGGCACCGUCGCCCCCUCCGCCUCCGUCGUCUGCUACGGGGACACCGUCACGCAGCUCCACGUCGAGGGCGCCGCACAGGGCGCGCCGCCGCUCCCGCUCAACUUCUCCCUUGGCGCGCUGGUCACCACGCUGUCCAGGCUCCCCGACCUCAGGGUGCUCACGCUCUCCGGCCUCGGCCUCUGGGGCCCCUUGCCGGGGAAGCUGGAGCGGCUCGCCGGGCUGGAGAUCGUCAACAUGAGCCGCAACUACCUCUACGGGCCCAUCCCGAGGGGCCUCUCGCGGCUCCAGGGCCUGCAGACGCUCAUCCUCGACGACAACAUGAUCGGCGGCGAGGUGCCGGGCUGGGUCGGCACCGCGCUGCCGGCGCUUGCCGUGCUCAGCCUGCGGAACAACUCGCUGGCCGGCGCCGUGCCGGAGUCGCUCGGGAGGGCGCCGUCGCUGCGCUCGCUCGUGCUCGCCUCCAACAACCUCUCCGGGAACCUCCCCGACAUGCGCGGCCUCGCGAGCCUCCAGGUGCUCGACGUCGGCGGCAACUCGCUCGGCCCGGCGUUCCCGCGGCUCGGGAGGAAGGUGGCGUCGGUGGUGCUGAGCCGGAACAAGUUCACCGGUGGCCUGCCCGCCGCCGAGCUCAGCUCCUUCUACCUGCUGGAGCAUCUGGACGUGUCGCUGAACCGCUUCGUCGGGCCGUUCCCGCCGGCGCUGCUCUCGCUGCCGUCGCUCCAGUACCUGAGCAUCGCCGGGAACAGGUUCACCGGGGCGCUGUCCGACAAGGUGCCCUGCGGAGACAACCUCCGGCUGGUCGACCUGUCGUCGAACCUCCUAAUGGGGAGCGUGCCGGCCUGCUUGAGGCCGGGCGGGAAGCCGGCGACGGUGGUGCUCUCGUCGGAGAACUGUCUGGACAGGGGCGACGGCUCGCAGCACCCGUCGCCGUUCUGUCAGAACCAGGCACUGGCCGUGGGGAUAGUUCCUCGUCACAAUGAAAAGAAGAAAGUUAGCCGGCACGCCGGCUUCAUCGCCGGCAUCGUAAUGGCGGUCCUCGUCGCUGUCUCGCUCGUCGGCGCCAUGGCCUUCUUCGCCGUCAAGAAGAUGACCAUGGAAGGGGCGAAGACGAGGCCCUCGGCGACAUUGAUGGAGGACCAUACUUCUACUUCCAGUGCCUACCCUUCCAAGCUGUUCGCCGAUGCACGUAUGAUCGAUCUCUGAAUUUCAUCCUAUGACUUGUGAAAUUAGUCUAAGAGACCCUGAAUUUCAUUUCUUGAAAUCAAACUUGAUGAAAAACUCACUAACAUUUGCUUCCAUUUUGGCAUUUGGGAUGACAAAUAAAAAGGUUACAUAUCACAGACAGUGAAGCUAGGAGCUUUGGGGAUCCCACCAUAUAGAUCAUUUUCUCUGGUCGAGCUCGAGGCCGCGACGAACAACUUCGCAAACUCUUGCCUGCUUGGGCAAGAUUCUUAUGGCGAGGUACAGCGUCGUCGAUCUCUUCACUGAAUUUUCUUCAGUCUGUUCACAAAUUGGGGCAAGUGAUGCCUGAAAUUUUACCACGACUUGUUCUGGUUAUGUUCAUGACCAUGAGUUCAUCAUGUCAGAUGUAUCUGGGGAAGCUAAGCAAUGGUGCCUCGGUGACAAUCAGGAGCCUCAAGGUUAAGAGGAACCAGAGCUCCCAAAGCUUCAACCGCCACAUCGAAACGAUAUCUAGGCUCAGGCAUCGGCACUUGGUCAGUGCUCUAGGGCACUGCUUUGAAUACGAUCUCGACGAAUCCACCGUGACCCAACUCUACCUCGUGUUCGAGUACGUGCAAAACGGGAACUUGAGGAGCAGGAUUUCGCGUAUGUUGUCAGCUCUUAUCUCCAUUUUUUUCAAUUGCUCUGACGGUCCAAUGCCUGAAUGUUAUGUUGCUUUGCUUGAACUGUUCAUUACCAGAAGGAACUGAAGGACGGAAGCUUACCUGGGGGCAGAGGAUAUCAGCCGCCAUCGGCGUUGCCAAGGGCAUACAGUUCUUGCAUGGAGGGAUCAUACCUGGUCUGUUUGGGAAUAAUCUGAGGAUCAGCAACAUUCUUCUAGACCAAAACCAUGUCGCCAAAAUCGGCAGCUACAACAUUCCGAUCCUAGGAGAGGCUGCAAAACCUGAGGUAGAUCCGCGAAAUACUAACUUAUGGGAUGAAAACAUCCAGCUACUCUUUGUAAGGUUUUUAUGGCCAUUUGCUGACCAACAAUGUAUGCUUGUCUGUCAAUCCGACCAGGGAGGGGCUGGAAGCAGGCACCAAACUGACAGGUAUCUACAAGUUUCAAGCUUCAGAUGCUUAUCAUCUAGCAAUUCCAACCGGCACAACUAAUAUUUUCUUCAUCUUUCCUUGUUCCGCAAUGCUACUUUGCAGCACGAUGCUCGGCGACAAGAUUGACAUAUUUGAUUUCGGGGUGAUCCUGCUUGAGCUUGUGUCUGGAAAGCCCAUCACAUCCAUAUAUGAGGUGGAAAUAAUGAAGGAACUGGUAUGUAUGAUCGGUCACCUAGUUGUAGAUGGUAGUGCGCAACGCAACACAGAUACCUGAAUCUUGUUUGUGCUGCAGCUGCUAUGGGCAAUGGCCGAGGAGGACAGGGCCAGGAGGAGGAGCUUCGUGGACCCGGCGGUGAGCAAGAGCUGUUCAGAAGAAUCACUGAGGACAGUCAUGGAGAUCUGCCUGAGGUGCCUGGCCAAGGAGGCGGUGCACCGGCCGUCGGUCGAGGACGUGCUCUGGAACCUCCAGUUCGCCACCCAGGUGCAGGACGACUGGGAGGGGGAGAUCCGGAGCGGCGACGGGUCCCCGGUGUCGUCGUCCCGGACCGCCAGGUCCUCCAGAUUCAGCAGAUAGACGAUAAUAAACCAGCUGUUUCUCCCGUCCAAGUCAUCCAGCUCCCAGGAGGAUGGAUGAACAUGCAGCUGCCGGUGAUGAGUUGUCCUCCAGGAUGUGCAGAAAAGCAGGCUCCCAACUACUACGGUUGUAUUUCUUCUGUCAGUGUAGAGCUUUCUUUUUCCUUUCAAUUCCUCUGUUGUUUCUCUACCUGAAGCCUUCAUCUCGGGAGCAAAUAUUCCUAUGUUUUUUCUCUAUGCUAGCAAUAAUAAUGUUGGGCAAGCAUCGUUCCUGUUUCUACCAAAACUAGCACAAAUACCAUUUGUAGAACACACCAAGUGUUUAAAGACUCGCAAGCAGCACCAACUUCUUAGCUAUAACAUAAAAUCUUUACAAUGGCUAUAACAUGCCUUAGUUCACCAAAUAGGUCACAAGCACCGAAAAAACAAGAGGAGAUCAAGCACAGGGACACAACGGCCAUGGGGUUUUUCAAUGUUUUAAUUCGGUGGUACAGACCAGCAAAGCCAGAAAUGGAGACGUU